GUUGCCGUUUGCUGUUUUUUCACAAAUUAAUAUUUCUUCUCAAUAUUCUGAUUUUGGAUACCACUGGCGACAUCUAUUGGCGUGAUUUAGAAUUAAUUUGCAAUAGAUGGCGCUUUUUGCUCAGUUAAUUGAAAUAUACUUUAUUGAAACAUUUCCUAAUGUUUUUAUUUUGAUUAUUCUAUUUUUUAAUAGAAUAUUUUCAGUGUUCAGGAGAUUGUUUUCAUCAUGGUUUUUAUUAGUAUUUGCUUUUUACCUAAGCGGCGAAACGAAACGUCUUGCGAUGUCAAUGACUUGCAGGCUGUCAGUUGAGCUGUCAAAUCACUUUGGAAUUUUGGUCGAUCUUGCGCAACCGCAAUUUUAUUAUUUUCGGGGAUGUAAUCCCCUGUGUUUUAAAUCGUGUGUUGAAGAAUGCAUCCACGAUAAUUUCAUAAUAUAAUUUAAAAUAAUCACACAUGAGAAAUUCCCUAAAUCCUGUUCGGUUGAGGGUAUUGGGAUGCUGAAGACUGUGAGUGAAGCUCAGAUUAGCGAACGGUCUUCGUAAGUAUUUCUUUCCCAUUGCGGUUUUUUUCAUAACCUAAUGCCACGUUCCACAUGUGAUCCUGACACUCGUGUUUUUCGUUUCAGAUGCGGGAAUUUCAGAUUUCAUAAUUUUACAAAUGUUUAUAGUUCUAACAUUUCAUAGAUUUCAUAUUUUACAAUAUUUUGUAGUUUAAACAAUUUCAAAUUUCGUAUUUUACAAUUUCAUAUUUUACGAUUUUACAUUUCAUAUUUUAGAUAUUUCAAUAUUUCAUAUUGAUUUCUAUAAUUAUUACUCCUUUCUGAACUGCUGAUCUCUUCGCAUUUCCUCCUUGUCAUCAAACCUCUGUCUCUGCAAGAGUUUGAACGCUUUCCUGUCGAGAAAAUGCAAGAGCUUCAUCUGGUACUGCGCGCUUGAGGCCGUGGAGGACGCUGCUUGUAGCCUAAAAGUGUGCGAGACCCGUUAGACCCCGGAAGAAGAGAGGAACGUUCAGGGUAACGGCUUAUAACCGCAUGGCUUCCAAGGUACCCACUUUUCCAUCCUUCAAGUAGGAGUCUUUCCGACCUGACAUCGCGCAGUUAUCUUAACUAGUAGAGUCUUUUAAUAUUUAGGCUGAGUUUUAAGAAAUUUGUAGUGGCAAUAAUAUUCACCAAACCGAACCUAAUUAACGACCCUGAAUCCCUUGAGAUUGGCACUAUUACAGUAGUUAUUAUAAUAUCGUAAUUGUUAACUAUAUAGGAGCAUACGAGAUAAAAAUAAAUUGUGUCAAUUGA